UGCAGCUGUGUCAAAUUCAAUGCCUGCCUUACCCAUGGCAGGCACUGGCCCAAAAGGCUACCAGAGAGACACUGCAACUCAUGGGCCCUGCUCCUCUCUGCUGAGGCUCAGGGAUAAUUUUGUUACAGACAUUA
rnacentral:snoRNA from 1 species